CGUUAAUAUUUUUGUAAUCGUACAGAAUAAGCGACAAUACUCGUACAACAACAGCAAUAAUAAUAAUAAUGGCGAGUAACAAGUACGUUAUUAUCAAUUCAUUUCUGUGGCGCGUAUAACCGAGACGCGCACAACGCAAAAACACACAAAACGAACUGGCGCAGUACGACCCAUAAUGUACAGAUGGUAAUAAUAUUGUUGCAAAUACUGCAAAUAAUAUAAUAUUCAUUAUAUCGGACGCAAAACUUCGCGUUAUAACUCGAUAUAAAUAAUACGCGGUUGUUUAUUUUCGUUUCACCCGCGUUAUUUUAUUCUUCAUUUAACUUUGCGAUAAUAUUGUAUAAUAUUUUAUGACGAAAACGAACCCGCGGUGCCUUCGAAUAUAAACGUAAGAAAUAA